AAUUGUGCAAUGUUAAGUGCAUUGUUAGUAUGCUUUGGUACGCAAUUCUCAAAUGUUCUUACUCAGCAACAUGAAUAGGAAAUUAAUUCUCGUUUUCUGUUUCAAACUAGGCAUAUCAUUGUGGAAAUUAGAUGUACAAACCAACCAAAUAUUCCAGAACAGUAGUAUAUGACCGACAUACAUAUAAAGGACACUAGACAACUCUCCAAGUAUGACCCAGAGCAAAAAGAACAACAAUACAGUACUGGCGACACACUUGAUCAAACUCACAAUGACAAUACAUGAACAUUGGAUCAACUUAUGUGCUCAGGUGCCAUAUACAUACAGGACACAUACACACAGGAAUAUAUAAACACACUCUCCAAGAAACACACACAUUGACAUAUAUGCACACCAGUUGUUUAUUUUCAGGGAAGGAUUGUGUCAGAUACGGAGAUUUCCCAUAAUUCCCGUCAUUUAUUUGGGGGAGUGAUGGGAGGGGAGAUGAGUCGAAUCGAAUGGAUAUGUUGAUGACCCACCGUAACGUGUUCCUCCGUACACAAAAGGUGAAGGAUGAAUUAAAAGUCACUGCAAUCAUGAGGUCAAAUCCAAGAUGGCGAUCAGCUGUUUGGUGAUGGAGAUUCAAUGAACAAGGGUACAUAUGACAUCCUAACUCCUACCUGGUCAAUAUUUCUGAGUCAUACAGAAAAGCUGUGAAAAAUUGCUGACAACGUGGAUGAACUUCAGUGUUAAACUCCUGAGAUGAACAGAAUGCUGAGAGAGGACUAAUUACACAAAAGGAAUGACUCAUUUUAAUACAGUGCCUUCAAAAAGUAUUCACCCCCCUUUGACUUUUUCACAUUUAAAAUGGAUUACAUUGAGAUUGUGUGUCACUGGCUGGGGUUACCCCAUAAUGUCA